UACGGAGGGGGCUAGCGUUAUUCGGAAUUAUUGGGCGUAAAGGGCGCGUAGGCGGCCAUUCAAGUGACGGGUGAAAGCCCUCGGCUUAACCGAGGAACUGCCUGUCAGACUGGAUGGCUUGAGACCGGGAGAGGUGAGUGGAAUUCCCAGUGUAGCGGUGAAAUGCGUAGAUAUUGGGAGGAACACCAGUGGCGAAGGCGAGUCUCUGGGCUGAUACCGACGCUGAGGCGCGAAAGCCAGGGGAGCAAACGGG
rnacentral:rRNA from 1 species